rnacentral:rRNA from 1 species
UACGGGGGGGGCAAGCGUUGUUCGGAAUUACUGGGCGUAAAGGGCUCGUAGGCGGCCAACUAAGUCAGACGUGAAAUCCCUCGGCUUAACCGGGGAACUGCGUCUGAUACUGGAUGGCUCGAGUCUGGGAGAGGGAUGCGGAAUUCCAGGUGUAGCGGUGAAAUGCGUAGAUAUUGGGAGGAACACCAGUGGCGAAGGCGGCUUACUGGACCGGUUCUGACGCUGAGGCGCGAAAGCGUGGGGAGCAAACGGG